CUACUCCUUCUCCUUCCCGACUCCGCUCCCCUCUGUCCUAUGCUACUUCUCUUCUCCUCCUCUCCCCUCCCGUCCUCUCAUCUCUUCCAUUAGAUAUUCCUGCUGGCGGUGUGGCAUUGGGAGUUCUACAUGUUGCCUCUCUGUCUGGUUCUGCUCAUCACAUGGAACUAUCUUCAGAUUGCAUCUGGACGGGCCAACCAGGACCUGGAUAAUAUGGACUUGGGCGAUGAAGAUGAUGAAGAUGAAAAGGAAUCCGAGAAGAGAGGUUUGAUGGAAAAAAUUCACAUGGUUCAAGAGACUGUCAUCACUGUCCAAAACCUGUUGGAGGAAAUCGCAUGCUUCGGGGAGAGAAUUAAAA